UGGGGAAUUUUGGACAAUGGGCGAAAGCCUGAUCCAGCAAUGCCGCGUGUGUGAAGAAGGCCUUCGGGUUGUAAAGCACUUUUGUCCGGAAAGAAAUCCUUGGCUCUAAUACAGUCGGGGGAUGACUGUACCGGAAGAAUAAGCACCGGCUAACUACGUGCCAGCAGCCGCGGUAAUACGUAGGGUGCAAGCGUUAAUCGGAAUUACUGGGCGUAAAGCGUGCGCAGGCGGUUUGCUAAGACCGAUGUGAAAUCCCCGGGCUCAACCUGGGAACUGCAUUGGUGACUGGCAGGCUAGAGUAUGGCAGAGGGGGGUAGGAUUCCACGUGUAGCAGUGAAAUGCGUAGAGAUGUGGAGGAAUACCGAUGGCGAAGGCAGCCCCCUGGGCCAAUACUGACGCUCAUGCACGAAAGCGUGGGGAGCAAACAGGAUUAGAUACCCUGGUAGUCCACGCCCUAAACGAUGUCAACUAGUUGUUGGGGACUUCAUUUCCUUAGUAACGUAGCUAACGCGUGAAGUUGACCGCCUGGGGAGUACGGUCGCAAGAUUAAAACUUAAAUGAAUUGAC
rnacentral:rRNA from 1 species